GACGAACGCUGGCGGCGUGCUUAACACAUGCAAGUCGAACGAAGUGGCGAACGGGUGAGUAACGCGUAAUCAACCUGCCCUUCAGAGGGGGCCAACAGUUGGAAACGAAUGCUAAUCCCGCAUACUGAAGGAGGGGAUUGCGUCUGAUUAGCUAGUUGGAGGGGUAAGGGCACACCAAGGCGAUGAUCUGUAGCCGGUCUGAGAUGAUGAACGGCCACAUUGGGACUGAGACACGGCCCAGACUCCUUCGGGAGGCAGCAGUGGGGAAUCUGCCUCAAUGGACGAAAGUCUGACGGAGCAACGCCGCGUGAGUGAUGACGGCCUUCGGGUUGUAAAGCUCUGUUAAUCGGGACGCGGUACCGGAAUAGAAAGCCACGGCUAACUACGUGCCAGCAGCCGCGGUAAUAC
rnacentral:rRNA from 1 species